GUUUGAUCAUGGCUCAGAUUGAACGCUGGCGGAAUGCUUUACCAUCCAUGUCGAACGGCAGCACGAGAGCUUGCUCUUGGUGGCGAGUGGUGAACGGGUGAGUAAUAUAUCGGAACGUAUCCAAUAAUGGGGGAUAACUAAUCGAAAGGUUGGCUAAUACCGCAUACGCCCUACGGGGGAAAGCAGGGGAUCUUCGGACCUUGCGUUAAUGGAGCGGCUGAUAUCUGAUUAGCUAGUAGGUGAGGUAAAGGCUCACCUAGGCUUCGAUCAGUAGCUGGUCUGAGAGGACGACCAGCCACACUGGAACUGAGGCACGGUCCAGACUCCUACGGGAGGCAGCAGUGGGGAAUUUUGGACAAUGGGGGCAACCCUGAUCCAGCCAUUCCGCGUGAGUGAAGAAGGCCUUCGGGUUGUAAAGCUCUUUCGCAAGGGAAGAAACGUUACGAGCGAAUAACUCGUGAUAAUGACGGUACCUUGAUAAGAAGCACCGGCUAACUACGUGCCAGCAGCCGCGGUAAUACGUAGGGUGCGAGCGUUAAUCGGAAUUACUGGGCGUAAAGCGUGCGCAGGCGGUUUUGUAAGUCAGAUGUGAAAUCCCCGAGCUCAACUUGGGAACUGCGUUUGAAACUACAAGGCUAGAGUAUGGUAGAGGGGGGUAGAAUUCCACGUGUAGCAGUGAAAUGCGUAGAGAUGUGGAGGAAUACCAAUGGCGAAGGCAGCCCCCUGAACUAAUACUGACGCUCAUGCACGAAAGCGUGGGGAGCAAACAGGAUUAGAUACCCUGGUAGUCCACGCCCUAAACGAUGUCUACUAGUUGUUGGGAGAGUAAAAUCUCUUAGUAACGCAGCUAACGCGUGAAGUAGACCGCCUGGGGAGUACNGGUCGCAGAUUAAAACUNCAAGGAAAUGACGGGGGCCCGCACAAGCGNUGGAU
rnacentral:rRNA from 1 species